GAAAGAGCUGAGCUGUGAAUUGCUUGUAGAAGAAGGAAGUGGGCUGUGAGGAUGGUAAAUGGAUGCAGUUUGCUCAGGAUUGUGGCCGGUGGCAGGCUUUGGUGUUGUCGGUGUUGGACCUGCAGGUUCUGCUACCAGGGAGUCAGUUAGUUAGUUAGUUAGUGUCUUCACUGACAAGUCUGAUUCAUUUCCUGUAAUUGUAAUUGGAGACUGAUUCUAUAUUUUUAUAACCAGAAAUCAUGAUCAGAUAUCCCAUUUGUCACUGGUUCAAUACAAAUAUGAUAUUUUUUGGAACUGUCUAUAAAAACACUGUCAAUAACAGGACUAGAGUAAUUUUGAAUUCUUGUGGAGAAAUUAACAACUGAGAUGAGAUUGAAAGAUGAUAGUGGGGAGUUUAGACAUUGUUUGUGGUAACUUUCGGUAAGAUUAUUAAUAUUAAUGUUGCCACAUGACAAAUUCUGCUGUAGGUUUAUAAAGAUAAGAAAAGUUCAAAAUUACCUGUGGUAGCUCUGUAUAUAGCUAAGACAUAAAUGUUGGAGAGUUUAGAUUCCAAUUGCACAACACAGCAUCCUAUGCCUUGUUCUUUGCAGUGAUGCAGUACAUUUAACUGACUACAUUUUAGAUUAUUUCUGACAAAAAUACUCACUCCUCCUUUUGCCAUAUUCUGUUUACAGUAACUAGUUCCUAAAAUAUAAUUGUCAAGAUUGAUCUGUAAGAUCUCUGGCAGUUUCAUAUGGUGUUCAGUUAAACAUAGAAUAUGUGAUGAGUAUGUAUUAUUAAUGGGCAUGGAUAGUUCAUCAGUUUUACUCUACUCCACUCAAGAGCACAUCUUCAACAAGUACAUGGAAACAAAAUUAAAUAUUAAUCAUAAGUGCACUCAACCACUCUUGAUAUCAAACUGACACUCGCCAUACUGCUACAAGUACACUAUAUAAAAUAUACUGAUUUUUCCAUAUAAAUUAAAUCUGAAACCAAUCUUAACAUACACUAAGAGUGGGGAUUACACAUAAAAAUGGUAGUGGUGACAUCAGACUUCUGUCCUAUAAGUUUAUAUCAUACCAUCCUGCUGUCAUACUCUAAUGUUCUUUUAUUUGCAUGGUUAUUGUUCUAUUCAAUAGUCAUUCUUUACACACCUUUCUUUCAGGCAAUUGUCUUAUGUUAGCACCACUAAGCUCUGGAACAUGUGACAGCAGUAAGUGGAGCUAAAUGCACAUAGAAGGGAAUGGCAGAUGGAGGGAAGUUCACAACACCAAAACUGAAUAUGUGCACAAUGAAAAGAUAAACCUAAAAGAGACCCAAUUUGAAUGAAAUUCUGUAACAAAUUUACUAGUUAACAGUAAAAAUAAAGCUGUCUCACUGCAUGCCAUGAUGGAGGUGCUUGUGUGAAUAGCAGUAUAGCUCCUACUCAUUAGUGACCCCAGCAACAGAUGGGGGUGAGUAGUCACCAACCCCCUGGCUGCACUUUAUGCCCCCCUUUUCAGAGAAAGAAAUACCAGUACCCACUGGAUAUGAGACUGGGUGGAUACAAGAGCUGAACUGAACACACAUGCUAAAUGGAUCCUGCUGGGGAUCGAACCCAUCAUUCAGUCAACAGUCAGACAGUACUUUGAAUAGGCUACCCCAGCUCACUAAGUCAGCAUGUUCUCAGAAUCCUAUUAUAAAGCAAAAUGGAAAGUACUGAAAAUGCUUGUGUACUGUUACUACAGUCUCUAAAAUUAAAUGCAAAUGUUGACAGAUCUUA